rnacentral:rRNA from 1 species
UACGGAGGGGGCUAGCGUUGUUCGGAAUUACUGGGCGUAAAGCGCACGUAGGCGGCUUUGUAAGUUAGAGGUGAAAGCCCGGGGCUCGACUCCGGAAUUGCCUUUAAGACUGCAUCGCUAGAAUUGUGGAGAGGUAAGUGGAAUUCCGAGUGUAGAGGUGAAAUUCGUAGAUAUUCGGAAGAACACCAGUGGCGGAGGCGACUUACUGGACACAUAUUGACGCUGAGGUGCGAAAGCGUGGGGAGCAAGCAGG